AUUGAACGCUGGCGGCAGGCUUAACAUAUGCAAGUCGAGCGGAGAUGAGGUGCUUGCACCUUAUCUUAGCGGCGGACGGGUGAGUAAUGCUUAGGAAUCUGCCUAUUAGUGGGGGACAACAUUCCGAAAGGAAUGCUAAUACCGCAUACGCCCUACGGGGGAAAGCAGGGGAUCUUCGGACCUUGCGCUAAUAGAUGAGCCUAAGUCGGAUUAGCUAGUUGGUGGGGUAAAGGCCUACCAAGGCGACGAUCUGUAGCGGGUCUGAGAGGAUGAUCCGCCACACUGGGACUGGGACACGGCCCAGAUUCCUACGGGAGGCAGCAGUGGGGAAUAUUGGACAAUGGGCGGAAGCCUGAUCCAGCCAUGCCGCGUGUGUGAAGAAGGCCUUUUGGUUGUAAAGCACUUUAAGCGAGGAGGAGGCUACCUGGAUUAAUACUCUAGGAUAGUGGACGUUACUCGCAGAAUAAGCACCGGCUAACUCUGUGCCAGCCGCCGCCGUAACAC
rnacentral:rRNA from 1 species